GUGCUCGCUUUGGCAGCACAUAUACUAAAACUGGAACGUUACAGAGAUUAGCUUAGCCCCUGUGCAAAGAAGCAAUGCACAUUUGUGAAGCAUCCCAUAUUUUU